rnacentral:rRNA from 1 species
UACGUAGGGGGCUAGCGUUGUCCGGAAUCCUUGGGCGUAAAGCGCGUGUAGGCGGCCCGGUAAGUCCGCUGUGAAAGUCGGGGGCUCAACCCUCGGAAGCCGGUGGAUACUGUCGGGCUCGAGUACGGAAGAGGCGAGUGGAAUUCCUGGUGUAGCGGCGAAAUGCGCAGAUAUCGGGAGGAACACCUAUUGCGAAGGCAGCUCGCUGGGACGUUACUGACGCUGAGACGCGAAAGCGUGGGGAGCAAACAGG